rnacentral:pre_miRNA from 1 species
GGCUUUCCGCGUCCCUGCCGAGAUUUCGCCACAUAACAGCCCAUCAGAACUGAUGGGACUCGCAAAACAAGUAAUCG